rnacentral:rRNA from 1 species
UACGGAGGGUGCAAGCGUUGUCCGGAUUCAUUGGGUUUAAAGGGUGCGCAGGCGGGAAGGUAAGUCGGGGGUGAAAGACGGUUGCUCAACAAUCGCAGUGCCUUCGAUACUGGUUUUCUUGGGUGAAGUUGAGGUAGGCGGAAUGGAAGGUGUAGCGGUGAAAUGCAUAGAUACCUUCCAGAACUCCGAUUGCGAAGGCAGCCUACUGGACUUUCACCGACGCUCAGGCACGAAAGCGUGGGGAUCAAACAGG